rnacentral:lncRNA from 1 species
GGAGCCUGGCCAGGGCUGACUGAGCGCCCCUGGAAUCCGCGCUCCGGGCGUUGGCUCACUCCCGCCCCGACACCUGGGCCCGCCCUCCCGCUGCGCAGCCACGCGCCGGGCAGCAGCGUGGUCUGGCGGGCGACUCCCCACGCCUCCUGCAACACCGCCCUCUCCCUACCAGAGCUAGGCGGCAGGAAAAGCCUAGAGACGCCUGGUCCCAUCCGCCUACCCAGUCCCCAGCCGGCCUGAAGGGAGGAAGAGGAAGGAACCCAUAAUCAUCCCAAACUGGCGCAAAUGCCACGUUCAGUCACAGUUUAUUAAAGUUAAAAGUGUCUCCAUCCACCCCCUACAGAGGCUUGCGUGGUGGUUCCAGUCUGCUAAAUAUUUCAGAAUGGGGACCUCAUUCUAUCUACUGAUUUAUCAAAUCUCAUUAAUUAAUUUCUCUUGCUGAUAUGAGGGGUUGGGAGAGAAGGGGGACGUGGGAAUGUAAGGUAGAGCGAGAGUGGUCGGGCUCAUGGGGUUUGAUGGACUGUGACCCAGGCUGGCGUUGCUCGUCUCUGGAUUUCACUCCUGGCUGAACUGGUGCCUUCGGUAAACAGCUGCUUAAAGAGUGCGGGGACUGCUGCAGGGACUUCCUUUUUCCACUAGGCGGCACCACAGCCAAAGUGAUAAGAAGUCAAGCGUGGGGAGGGUGGCUGGAGAUUGUCUUUUCCCCUCCUUUUGCUCAACAACUCGUCCAUUCCUUCUCCAACUCUCUUCACCACCACCCCCGCCCCCAUCUCCACUCUCAGUAGCCCGAGCCCUCCCAUUCUCCACUCCUUCGACCCAAUUCCACUAAGUCAAGAACCGUGGUCGGUCUCAGCCACUCACUCAGCGCCACUCUGUGCUCCGAAGUCCGUGUAGCACCACUGCUCCCCGUGUUCUCUGAGCUGGCUUGGCUUGAAGGAACGUCACAAAACCAAGCCCGGAUCGCUGUCAGCCACUCACUCAGUGCCGCAUGGAGCUCCUCGGACAGCGCAGCGUCAAAUGUCUUCGUAUCCUGAGAGCUGGCUCCUUGACCAGCAAUCUCAUCAUAAGAGGCCAGGAGACAUACUGGAAAAGUGACUUUCCCAGCAGACGAGGCCCGAAACAGGGAGUGGGAUGGGGCUGAAGAGUGGUGAUUUGGUGGCCCCGAUGUAGUUCUGCCGCCUUUGCGGGAGAAGGAAAGGAGAAAAGAGGUCAGCGGGAGCACCUCGGCAGCAAUCCUCCAUUGCCAGACAGCACAGCUGAGCUCUACAUACAGCAGGAGGGAUGGAGCUGGAGUUGGUCUGGGGAAUAAAGAAUGGGAUGAAAUGGUGAGAGUCCAGAGGGGUUGAGCAAAGAACUCACUAUCACACAGCAAGGCACUAAUGUGAAAUUCCUGGGAGAAGUAGAAGCUGCAUUUGUCUCUCAUAUUCUUAUUGGACCAGGAAGCAGGAGGAGACACCAGUGUGCACCAGAGAAGGAGAAGUCAGACAUGACAGUCCCUGCCUGAGGCCAUCUCUGGUCCACCAGACAACUCAUCACCAACUUCCCAACAGCCACUGCUCUAGGCCAGGUGUCCACGUGGGGAAUAGGUCCAGGCCCUCUAUGGCUCUCGCAGGAGUCAGGGAGGCAGAUAAAUAACAUAUCACGAAGACAGAAUGUAAGAAAUGCCUGGGAGGAGGCAUACUGAUGCGUGGAAAGUACUCAGCCAGAAGCCUGGCACUAGAAGGGCCCAGGGAUUGUUGGCAUGUAUGAGUCACAGUUCCAUUUCAGUGGAGUGAGCAGGGAGAGAAUCUCCUGGAAGCAGUCCUUGGUGGAGUCUGAUGAUUGACAUCUUAAGCAAAUUCUCUGGAGAAGUCGAUGCUCCUGAUGGAGGCUCACACAUUGAUAACCCCUGGUUUAGAGACACUACUAAUUGUUCCAGCUCAUCCAGCUAAUAAGUGACAGAUCUCAGACUUAAUUCCAGGUUUCCUAUUCCACAUUAAGUCUUCUUUAUUCUUUCUUGUUUCAGCAUUAAUGAAAACAAAUAGUAAUCUUUAAAAAUGAUAAACAAAUAUUUUAAAAGAACCAAUAUUUCAAUGAAGCUGGGCAACCCAGCAGAGAGAAUGAAAAU